UACAUAGUUGAAGAGGACUUAAAUGGAUUGAUUGGUACUACCUAUAUCAACAAAAUGCAUCUUAUUAUUUUUCGGUAGCCCAUCACGAAAGAACUCCACUGUUAAGCGUGCUUGACUUGGAGUAAUUUCAGGAUGGGUGACCUCCUAGGAAGUUUUCCCAAGAAGUGUGCGAGUGAGAACAAAGCACGCUGGAAAUACUCAUGUUGGUUUGUAGGGUUAGUUGUCAUUCCAUGAAGCAGCCAAAGUAGAGUACUCGUGUCUAAGAUUCAUCAUUCAGUGGGUGUAAGGGCCCAAUAGAAGCUUGAAGCGGGGACGUUACAAAAGUUGUAAUGAACGUAUGAUUUAGAUAUGGAUUAGUGGGGCCAUAGAUAUUAAUUGUUGUUAUUUAAUGAUUAUAUGUGAAUAUUAUACGUGAUGUGGGUCCCAUUUUUUAGAAUGGGCAUUAGAAUUAUAAUUUUUUAAUUUUGGAGAAAUUAUUUAACUCUACAAAUGUUAUUUAUAUCAAAUGCAAAAUAUGUAAUUUUUGUGAUUCUAGCCCGGUGGCGAUGGAAAAUGCAACGGAGGGUCGUCAAACAUAGAAUCUUUUUAUUCUUGAGAGUAAUAGCAGGUUGAGUUCAAGUUUCGGGUUUAGGCGGGGUAAUGGUAUCGGACCAUUUUACCCCUAAACCAUUCUUUGAGUUAGGUAUUAAGACAAUGGUAGAAUUGGAAUUUUACGCUUGAUGAUAGGUGGCUUUAGAGAGUAUGGACAGCGGGCAUUUAGAAAUUUAGAGAUAAACUAAGUUUAUCUAAAAAGAGAAUUAAAUUAAAGAAAAAAAAUAUUAGAAGAUAAGUGUAAAAUCCCAUUUCUUUAGCUUUCUCUCGUUUAUGUAGCAGCCCUAGAACGAAGGGAUUUCUUCAAUUUUCCUUUGUUGAUUCUAGAAGAAAUUCAAGGGUUAAGAAGAAGCUUUGGAAGAGAAAAACUAAGGGCCUCCGUUCAGGUUGAGAAUUUUCUAUUCAAGUCGACCCGGCACGCUUGAAUCUGGUAACGAGGUAAAGGAAGAGCUAAGGCAGAGGAGCAGUGAGUUUGGAGCUCGGUAGUGAUUGUACAUAUCGCGGCAAUACAGCCUGGAGGGUUCUGGUCUUAAAACAUUUUGGGUCAAAUUUUUGUAGUCACCAUAUGACAUAUAAUAGAAUACGUUAUGUUUGUGAAAAUCAUCUUUUGAAAUCGGGAUUCCGGCUUUGUAAAAUUAUAUAUAUGUUUAUAUUUAGUUUAUAUGAUUAAAGUUUAAAUCCAAGUGAUUUCUAAAUUGGGGGUUACAAUAAUGCAAUUACGUACCUUGCACAAUAGUUGAGUGCUAAAGUUAAGUGGUUGAAUGAACUUACUACAACAGUUUGUACUGAUGUAUAUUCUGAGCGCUGGAGAAAAAUGAAUAUAAGUAUUCUUAAGGUUAACUGUGUUGUUGCAAUCUCUUUCAUCUGAUUUUAUUUUAGUU